GAUGAACGCUGGCGGCGUGCCUAAUACAUGCAAGUCGAGCGAACAGACGAGGAGCUUGCUCCUCUGACGUUAGCGGCGGACGGGUGAGUAACACGUGGAUAACCUACCUAUAAGACUGGGAUAACUUCGGGAAACCGGAGCUAAUACCGGAUAAUAUAUUGAACCGCAUGGUUCAAUAGUGAAAGACGGUUUUGCUGUCACUUAUAGAUGGAUCCGCGCCGCAUUAGCUAGUUGGUAAGGUAACGGCUUACCAAGGCAACGAUGCGUAGCCGACCUGAGAGGGUGAUCGGCCACACUGGAACUGAGACACGGUCCAGGCUCCUACGGGAGGCAGCAGUAGGGAAUCGUCCGCAAUGGGCGAAAGCCUGACGGAGCAACGCCGCGUGAGUGAUGAAGGUCUUCGGAUCGUAAAACUCUGUUAUUAGGGAAGAACAAAUGUGUAAGUAACUAUGCACGUCUUGACGGUACCUAAUCAGAAAGCCACGGCUAACUACGUG
rnacentral:rRNA from 1 species